rnacentral:rRNA from 1 species
GACGUAGGGCGCGAGCGUUGUCCGGAUUUAUUGGGCGUAAAGAGCUCGUAGGCGGUUCGCUAAGUCGGGUGUGAAACCUCCAGGCUCAACCUGGAGACGCCACCUGAUACUGGUGUGACUAGAGUCCGGUAGGGGAGUGUGGAACUCCUGGUGUAGCGGUGAAAUGCGCAGAUAUCAGGAAGAACACCAGCGGCGAAGGCGGCACUCUGGGCCGGUACUGACGCUGAGACGCGAAAGCCAGGGGAGCGAACGGG